CCUGCGCAGAGCCUGAAGUCGCGUUUUCUGUGUCUACUGCUGGCCCUUAAGCGGGUCGCCGAACUCUGCAGUAUUUCAGCGAGCCCACUAGAUGGAGGUAUUUUAGCAAAUUUCAACGGCCCAGCCUUUCCUGGACACCGAUUUCCAGAGAGAAAGACAAGUACGCGGACCCCGCAAAACCUCCGCGUGUUGACUCACAAGCAUCCGCAAGAUGAAGCACUGAGGCUCCACACAAGUAACAGCUGUCCGCCUGAUGUCUCAAAGAUGCACCAAGCUACCUUCUCCAAUCUGAAUACAGACUUGGAUCAAAAUGUCUUUCCACGCUGGCAAUAGUCAAGCCUGCUUUGCUAAGCAAGGACCGAUGGAGACACAGGCCUCUGGAGACUGUAAUGUUUUCUGCACUGGCAUGGCAAAUGACUUGCAAAAUAGCACGGCAUUAAGAGAGGUUUUUCUGCAACAGAGCUCUUGUGACAAGGUGAAGAGGCUAUAAUGCUCUGGGACUUGUGCUUCUUUUAAAAAAUAACCAUUUUUCUCUUUCUGAC